ensembl:lncRNA
AUGUGUGACAGUGUUAAACUGUGGUUGUGGGUGUGUUCCAUUUACUACAGCAUUCAUGGGAGCUUUCGGAGUCCUGCACUCAGAAGCCAUUGCAGGUGUGUGUGUGUGUCAGUCUCGUCAUCUCAAAGUUUCUUAACAUUUUAUAUUGUGUUUAAAUUGAAUCAUUGUUCUCUAGAUUCCACUGAGAUGAUGUCUCCCAGAAUCCUCCGGCCCCAUAGGUCAAAAAUUAGAGCGGUUCCAGGAAAGCAAUUGGUUAUAAAAUGUGAUGCAGACCCAGGCCUUCCUGAUGACUUCACCCAUGUCUACUGGCUGGUCAACAGUACCUUCCCAGAGGUGGCCUACAAGGAUGGGAGAAUAUCAGAAACUAACGAAUUUUCCUCAGAGGACGGCAGGGUAAUCCAUAAAAGUCUGGUGUUUAAGAUGGUGACUGCAGAGGACUUCAGGUCCAGCUUUACCUGUGUGAUAAGCAGCCCCACUGGGCUUGACCGAAAGACUGUCAAAUUGAUGACCAAGGCUAGUUUUCCCAUAUUACCUCAAGUAAUCUCAUUUCAUACCAACUGCAAACUUACCAGAAUAAUGGAGGAAAGAACUUGAGAAGAGACAAAGGAAUAUGGAUAGAUUAGAUAGAUAAUUUUUGUUCAACUGUGUAUCAUCUAGAGCUGGGAUGAUAAAGUUGUAAUUAUUGACACAGACAAUAUGCUCUACUUAUGACCGGCCUUUUGGGGAAUAUAGUUCAUUACAGUAGUGAGUAUAAAUGUAAUGUUUGUAAAUAAAUGUUUGCUAUUAUGGUUGAUUUUCAGUGGGAGCAACUGUCAGAUGAAACUAGUGGUCUCAAGGAUGAAAACAAUGUUUCUGCAAACUGAUGCUAUUUUUGUUAUUUUGUUAAGUGUGUUUAUAUUUUAAAUACUGUGGAUUGCAUAGGUUUAUGCCCCUCUUGGAAUAAUUUUUUUAUUGUGUUACACCAUGUCAUUGAGAUUUAUUUAAUUUUAUUUGCAAUUUAUCUAUACAAAAUAUUCUGUAAUUUCAAAGUGAAAAUAAAUAUCUACAAUUUUUUUUUAAUUAAUAGAAAUAUGUAAACUAAAAUAGAUGUGAAUAAGUGUGCAUCCCAGUUCAGCAGCAGCAAGGCUUCCUCAACAAAUAUGUCACUUAGAUUUAUUCUGUGUGAAGUACAAAUAUAUGUUUAUGAACGUCCCUCAGUCAAGUAUUUUUCGAAAUCUCUUGAGAUAGGGCAGUGAUUGGGGCAUUCAAGUGGCGCAGCAGUCAGUGCCUCACAGUACUACUGCGACAUUGCAGCAAUGUGUUUGAAUCUUGAUUGCGUUGUACCAACGAUCCAGCAUAGAGCAGCACGAUUCGGCUGGGUGCUGCCUGGGGUAUUCGGGUGGAAAUCGCACAGGGCUGCCUUAUGUCCUCCAAUAGCUAAACACUUCCUGGUUGAGCGAUCAGUGUGAUAAGAACUAGAAAUAAGUUAGUUCUCUUUACAUUUUUAUACAGUCGAAGGAUUGUCCUUUUUUGGGUUUGGUCUCAUUACAAGCCUAUGAUUUUGCUUGGGACUGGGUUCGGGCUUUAGCUCAUGGGAACCAGGUUGGACCGGGCUCAAAUUUGUUUAAUAUAUUUAAUGUUUCAAUUCCAAAAUGGUCUUUUUUAUUUUUUCAAAGCUUUAAUCUACGGUUUAAGAAAGUUGUAUCUUAUGCCAGCUAUUGUGUCAGCUCUGUCAGUACUUCCUGGAUGAAUAAAAAAAAUCCAACAAGGCCAUAUAUUUUCUAGAAUGUGCGAAGAGUGUCACCCCCAAUAUCUCUGGGUGUUUUAAAGAUAUUUUUUAAGCGGUUCUUUGCGGUGUUACACCAUUCAUUUCUUUCAUAGGGUAUUUUUAGAUCCAUUUCAAGGUUUGUUGCCUGUAGGCUUACACCACUUCUGCAUAUUGAUUACUAUGCACACUACCGUACAAAUGUUUGGGGUCACUUAGAAAUGUC